UAUUGCUGAACCUUCCCUUCCACAAUCUGUACCUCAGACUAAACCUGCACCUGAAUCUAAACCACCUAUUGAAAUUCCAGUGCCUAAUAAAAACAUAGUAGGAAAUAAAGGUGUGCAAAUAAACAAUGAAGAUGACAUAUUAAUAAAAGAUGUUGAAAAUAGAGGUAUCAUAACUUUGAAUCGUCCAAAAGCAUUAAAUGCCUUAAAUUUAUCAAUGGUUGAAAAAAUAUAUAGUAUACUCAAAAAAUGGGAAACGUCUAAAAAAUUAGUAAUAUUAGAAGGUACAGGAGAAAAAGCAUUUUGUGCUGGUGGUGAUGUAAAAUCUAUUGUCGUUGCACUAAAAGAAAAUGACAACAAUCUAGGUGAAACAUUUUUUAGAAAAGAAUAUACUUUAAAUCACUUGAUUGGUACAUAUAAAAUACCAUAUGUGGCUUUAAUA